rnacentral:rRNA from 1 species
GUGAGGAAUUUUCCGCAAUGGGCGAAAGCCUGACGGAGCAAUGCCGCGUGAAGGAUGAAGGCCUAUGGGUUGUAAACUUCUUUUCUCAGAAAAGAAUUAUGACGGUAUCUGAGGAAUAAGCAUCGGCUAACUCUGUGCCAGCAGCCGCGGUAAGACAGAGGAUGCAAGCGUUAUCCGGAAUGAUUGGGCGUAAAGCGUCUGUAGGUUGUUUAAAAAGUAUUCUGUCAAAGAUUAGGGCUUAACCCUAGAUAGGACGAAUAAACUUUUAAGCUAGAGUUUGGUAGAGGCAGAGGGAAUUCCCGGUGGAGCGGUGAAAUGCGUAGAUAUCGGGAGGAACACCAAAGGCGAAGGCACUCUGCUGGGCCAAUACUAACACUGAGAGACGAAAGCGAGGGGAGCAAAUGGGAUUAGAAACCCGAGUAGUCC